AACGAACGCUGGCGGCAUGCCUAACACAUGCAAGUCGAACGAGACCUUCGGGUCUAGUGGCGCACGGGUGCGUAACGCGUGGGAACCUGCCCUUAGGUUCGGAAUAACUCCCCGAAAGGGGUGCUAAUACCGGAUAAUGUCUUCGGACCAAAGAUUUAUCGCCUUUGGAUGGGCCCGCGUUGGAUUAGCUAGUUGGUAGGGUAAAAGCCUACCAAGGCGACGAUCCAGAGCUGGUCUGAGAGGAUGAUCAGCCACACUGGGACUGAGACACGGCCCAGACUCCUACGGGAGGCAGCAGUGGGGAGUAUUGGACAAUGGGCGAAAGCCUGAUCCAGCAAUGCCGCGUGAGUGAUGAAGGCCUUAGGGUUGUAAAGCUCUUUUACACGGGAUGAUAAUGACAGUACCGGGAGAAUAAGCUCCGGCUAACUCCGUG
rnacentral:rRNA from 1 species